rnacentral:rRNA from 1 species
GGUGAAUACUGGCGGCGUGGAUAAGUCAUGCAAGUCAAGGGGGCCCGCAAGGGCAACCGGCAAACGAGGUAGUAACACGUAGGUAGACCCCCCAGAGUCGGGCAUAGCCAGCCGAAAGGUUGGGUAAUUCCCGAUAGUCCCGAAAGGGUAAAGGUUUUUCGCUCUGGGAGUUGCCUGCGUAGUAUCAGCUAGUUGGUAGGGUAAUGGCCUACCAAGGCUACGACGCUUAGGGGAGCUGAGAGGCUGACCCCCCACGAUGGAACUGCGACACGGUCCAUACUCCUACGGGAGGCUGCAGACGAGAAUAUUCCGCAAUGGGCGAAAGCCUGACGGAGCGACGCCGCGUGAUUGAUGAAGUGCUUCGGGUACGUAAAGAUCUUUUAUCGGGGGACAAGUUUUAUUGACGGUACCCGAUGAAUAAGGGGCUCCGUAACUCUGUGCCAGCAGCCGCGGUAAU